rnacentral:rRNA from 1 species
UACGAGUGCGUCGAGCGUUAUCCGGAAUCAUUGGGCGUAAAGGGUGUGUAGGUGGCGUUGUUAGUCUCCUGUUAAAUUCCUCGGCUCAACCGGGGAGGGUCGUCGGGGACCGCACCGCUUGAGGGCGGUAGGGGCUGGUGGAAUGCCUGGUGUAGUGGUGAAAUGCGUAGAGAUCAGGCGGAACACCCGUGGCGAAGGCGGCCAGCUGGGCCGUCCCUGACGCUGAGGCGCGAAGGCGUGGGGAGCGAACGGG